rnacentral:misc_RNA from 1 species
GAUGAAGAACGUAGCGAAAUGCGAUAAGUAAUGCGAAUUGCAGAAUUCAGUGAGUCAUCGAAUCUUUGAACGCACAUUGCGCCCGCUGGUAUUCCGGCGGGCAUGCCUGUUCGAGCGUCAUUUCAACCCUCAAGCCCCCGGGUUUGGUGUUGGGGAUCGGCUCUGCCUUCUGGCGGUGCCGCCCCCGAAAUACAUUGGCGGUCUCGCUGCAGCCUCCAUUGCGUAGUAGCUAACACCUCGCAACUGGAACGCGGCGCGGCCAUGCCGUAAAACCCCAACUUCUGAAUGUUGACCUCGGAUCAGGUAGGAAUACCCGCUGAACUUAAGCAUAUCAAUAAGCGGAGGA